CUGCUUUAAUGUUGGUCAGCACAUAUAGUAAAAUUGGAACGAUACAGAGAAGAUUAGCAUGGCCCCUGCGCAAGGAUGAAAUGCAAAUUCAUGAAGCGUUCCAUAUAAAA